rnacentral:rRNA from 1 species
GACGAAGGAUCCAAGCGUUAUCCGGAUUUAUUGGGUUUAAUGGGUGCGUAGGCGGAUUGAUAAGUCAGUGGUGAAAGCCUGUUGCUUAACAACAGAACUGCCAUUGAUACUGUCAAUCUUGAAUAUGUUUGAUGUGGGCGGAAUAUGACAUGUAGCGGUGAAAUGCUUAGAUAUGUCAUAGAACACCGAUUGCGAAGGCAGCUCACAAAGCCAUUAUUGACGCUGAUGCACGAAAGCUAGGGGAGCAAACAGG